rnacentral:lncRNA from 1 species
CUGAAGCAGAAGUUGUGCCUGGAGAGGGAAUGGAAAUACACCAUAGAAGUGAGGCAGAAGAUCAUUCCGGCUUAUCGGGUCUUGCGAAGUUGCUAAAUUGCCCAGUCUGGGCUCAAAUUUGUGACCCUCCUGCCUCAGCCUCUCAGAGUGAUGAAAUUUCAGGGAUGUGCCAGCACACCUGGCUUUUAUUAAUUAUUUUAAUCUUAUCUACUUGGUCAAGAUAUCACCUUGCUAAUUAG